rnacentral:rRNA from 1 species
CAAUAGCGUAUAUUAAAGUUGUUGCAGUUAAAAAGCUCGUAGUUGGAUUUCGGGGUGGCCUGGCUGGUCCGCCGCAAGGUGAGUACUGGUCAGCCGCCCUUCCUCUCGAAAGCCCCGACUGCUCUUUACUGCAGUGGUCGGGUAGUUCGGGACGCUUACUUUGAAAAAAUUAGAGUGUUCAAGGCAGGCUAUCGCCUGAAUACAUUAGCAUGGAAUAAUGGAAGAGGACCUCGGUCCUAUUUUGUUGGUUUCUAGGGCCGAAGUAAUGAUUAAGAGGGACAGUUGGGGGCAUUCGUAUUUAAUUGUCAGAGGUGAAAUUCUUGGAUUUAUGAAAGACGAACUAGUGCGAAAGCAUUUGCCAAGGAUGUUUUCAUUAA